rfam:Mus musculus chromosome 1, GRC primary reference assembly.
UAGGGGAGACGGGGUUCAGACACCCUCCCCAAACCCAGGGUAACUCUGAGAGUGGAGGGGAA